GCAGCAGUUGCCGCGGCGUACUCAUCCCACCCACUUCUGCGCCCACUAUGGCCGCGCCCACUGCGGCCCCGCCCUCCUCUCCCACUGCGCAAGCGCCACGCGCAGGCGCAAAAGGAACUCGCAGGCCAGUGCUGCUGGUGCCGGAGUCCGGAAGCUGACGGCGGUGCGUGGAAAUCGUCGCGGAGUUCAGUGUUUUGCUUUUGGGGAUCACAAACUCAGGGGCACACUGGCCCGGCGGGCGCAUCCAGCCGUUGGCGUAUGUGUGGGCAGAAAAUGCAGACGAGAAAGUGGGUGGCGCUUGGCUAAUGCGGGCUGGAGCCCUUGACUUGGAGUGCCCAGUCCAGCGCCGCGGUCCUACAGAGGCCCCUGGGAUCUGAGCUGGCGAGGGUGGCGCGGCGGGUCCUACCCAAGGCCAGAAAGUUCGCUGCGGUCCCAGCUCUUUUGGGCAGCCUCUCUGAGGUAGAGCUCUCAGACGGUCUUCAGCCCGGUGGAACGCCCUGGUGUCCCACUCCACCCGUUCAUCCCGACUUCCUGGGCCGUCUCUAGAGCCCAGUUGGUAGUUGGGCCCAGUUGGCAUAUGUUUCAGAUGAAAAAUUCAUUACGGACUUGAGAUGCUAGGUUGGAGACAAAUCUCAUGUCAGUGGCAGAGAAAGAAUUCGAAGCUGUGCUUUCAUUGAGGGGAAGGGCCAGAAGACCCAGCUCUAGGUUUUUCUGACAAGCACAAGUUUUGGGGAAGUCCCUGUGCUUCACUAGCCUCAGUUUUCUUCCUAUAAUGGGGGUAGGGCUUUUCCUACCUACCUCAUUCACUUUGUGUAGAGUUAAAAGUAAUACACAUUUUGCCAAUAAUGUAUUCACUGCUUGAACCAAAAACUACCCUAAUGUGUUGUAGAACAACUUUGGCAUGUAUGAAGGCCUUGUAAAUGUUGAUGAUGAUGAUGCUUAGAAAUGCCUCUCAGCAUUUUGACGUAGCCUGCCUCCCAACCUACUGUAUUCCCAGGAGAUACCACCCCCAUCUUUAUUAUAACAGAGGCAUCCUGAAAUGAAAUGAGAGAGGAAGAAUAUCACUGAACUGGUGGACUUCUUGAAACCCCCGGCAAAAAGCCUUUUUUCAAUGACGUAGGGAGCAAUGGAUUAAUCAGUUCACAAAUUGUUAUGUUUGGUUGGGAUGAUGUGUCAUGGCCCUAUGUCAGAGCGCUACUCACCACACGUUUGUGGAACCCAGGGAGUUAAAAAACAACCUAUGGCGACUGAGGUGUGGAGCUGGGGAAGGAGCCUAUGUACGUAUGUGGCAAGUGUGACUGCAAAGAUAGGGAAGUGCUUAAACACAGGCUUGCAGAGUGAAAGCUUCCUUGUGGAUUUGUGUUUUCUUAUGAUUGAUUGAUUGAAACAAGUUCUCCCUCAGUUGCCUAGGCUGGAUUGCAGCGGUGCGAUCAGGACUCAUUGCAUCCUCAACCUCCCCGACUCAAGCAGUCCUCCCACCUCAGCCUCCUGAGUAGCAAGGCUACAGGUGUGUGCCACCACGUCUGGUAAUUUUUUCUACUUUUUUUGUGUAGAGACGAGCUCUUGCUAUGUUGCUUAGACUGGUCUUGAACUCCUGGUCUCAAGUGAUCCUCCCACCUUGGCCUCCCAAAGUGCUGGGAUUACAGGCGUGAGGCACCAUGCCUGACCCAUUUGUUUUCUUUGACUUGUGUUAGAGCAUCCUAGUCUAAAGAAAAAGUGGCCACACAAUGUUCUUUAUGUGGACUUCUGCAGGAAUGGUCCUCUCACCCAGUCACCCAGUCCUGGCAAUUUGCUGCCAUUUUUUUUGGUCAUUUUUCCUGGCUAAGUCUAGUUCCAGCUCCAGAGAUUAGAAUAUGAAAGGAUUAACCCCCCAAAAUGGGAUGGAGGGAUGAAUGAGUUGAAAGUUUUUGUUUCCCUUUUCCAAACACUGAGUUGGCUCUCAUCAGCACAGCUGUCUCUGGGGAUGUAUAAAGCGUAAUUAAUACAUUUUAAAUGUUUGGUUUCAACUUUUUUUGCUAGUGAGAUAAGAUAAGGAGUUUUUGUCAUGACAAGGGAAGGGGUGGAUUUCUUUCUAUCAUUUGCAGGAGUGGGUACCACUUGGAUCCUGUAGGUAGACAGUUGCAUGAGAUGAUAAACUUUAUAGGGGGCAUGGAAGAAAGCCAGUGGAGAUGGGGAAGGAAUGGCUAGACUCUUUAGCUUCCUGACAACCAGAGGGGGAAAAUGAACUUCCAGAGAAUUUGGGUUUUGCCUUAAAUAUUGAAAUUUGCUUGGGCAUUUGGUCCACUUCUUAAUUAACCUGGGUCCAGAACUGAAUGUCUUUGCAGUCGGAGCUCAGAAUUGCUUUGGUAUCUCACAGUACACAUAGCAUUUCCCUGUUGGUGUACGGUAGGCCAAGGACCAGAGCAUGUGUUGUGCUGUAGCCAAAAGGAAUAGUCUCCAUGACCUUAUCGUUGGAGAGAUCAUUGGACACUGAAAUAGUUGAGCAUGGACACUCUAAGAUGGGUGGAAAUACUAGAAGAGUUAUUAUUAGCAGAGGGAUCUAUGUAUCCAUAAGAUCCAUAUUUUUAAUUAUAAUGUUCAUAUCUUCUAUAUUCUUUUUAAUAAAUGGUGCUGGGAAAACUGGCUAGCCAUAUGUAGAAAGCUGAAACUGGAUCCCUUCCUUACACCUUAUACAAAAAUUAAUUCAAGAUGGAUUAAAGACUUAAACGUUAGACCUAAAACCAUAAAAACCCUAGAAGAAAACCUAGGCAUUACCAUUCAGGACAUAGGCAUGGGCAAGGACUUCAUGUCUAAAACACCAAAAGCAAUGGCAACAAAAGCCAAAAUUGACAAAUGGAAUCUAAUUAAACUAAAGAGCUUCUGCACAGCAAAAGAAACUACCAUCAGAGUGAACAGGCAACCUACAAAAUGGGAGAAAAUUUUCGCAACCUACUCAUCUGACAAAGGACUAAUAUCCAGAAUCUUUAAUGUCUUGAUUUCUUUACCUGUUAAUUCCUAACUGACACUUUAGUGUGUAUUAAAAACUC
rnacentral:lncRNA from 1 species